rnacentral:tRNA from 1 species
GGGGAUAUGGCUCAGUUGGUAGAGUUCUUGCCUCACAUGCAUAAGGCCCUGGGUUCAAAUCCUCAGUACUGCCC